AUUAGUUAGGUCUUUAAACCCAAAGAAUUUGGCGGUAUCUCAUUCCAUUCAGAGGAACCUACCCCGUAAUUGAUAAUACACGAUUUACUCUACUUAAUUUAUUUGUUUGUAUAUCUCCGUUAUCAGAGAAUCUUUUUAGGGUUAUAAUUCUCAGGAUUUAUAAUUAUAAAAUAUUUCAGGUCAAGGUGCAGCUUAUAGUUAGAGGAGGUGGGUUACAAUAUAUUUUUGUGUAUAAUGGAUUCAAUAGUGAAAUACUUUUGAUGAAGGUGGAUUUGAUAGUAAUUUGAUUUAUUUAAUUUAACUGAUAUUGGCUCUGAGAUGUGUACACAU
rnacentral:rRNA from 1 species